UCUCGUCUGAUGACAUCGAGCUAAGAA
rnacentral:misc_RNA from 1 species